GUACCCGCUGAACUUAAGCAUAUCAAUAAGCGGAGGAAAAGAAACCAACAGGGAUUGCCCUAGUAACGGCGAGUGAAGCGGCAACAGCUCAAAUUUGAAAUCUGGCUUCGGCCCGAGUUGUAAUUUGUAGAGGAAGAUUCUGGCAAGGCACCUACUGAGUCCCCUGGAACGGGGCGCCAUAGAGGGUGAGAGCCCCGUAUAGUAGGACGCUUAGCCUGUGUGAAUCUCCUUCGACGAGUCGAGUAGUUUGGGAAUGCUGCUCAAAAUGGGAGGUAAAUUCCUUCUAAAGCUAAAUACUGGCCAGAGACCGAUAGCGCACAAGUAGAGUGAUCGAAAGAUGAAAAGCACUUUGAAAAGAGGGUUAAACAGCACGUGAAAUUGUUGAAAGGGAAGCGCUUAUGACCAGACUUGCGCCGUGGUGAUCAUCCGCUGUUUUCAGUGGUGCACUCGCUGCGGCACAGGCCAGCAUCGGUUCUCGUGGGGGGAUAAAGGUCGCGGGAAUGUGGCUCGUCUCGGCGAGUGUUAUAGCCCGUGGCGUAAUGCCCCCGUGGGGACCGAGGUUCGCGCAUCUGCAAGGAUGCUGGCGUAAUGGUCAUCAGCGACCCGUCUUGAAACACGGACCAAGGAGUCAAGGUUUUGCGCGAGUGUUUGGGUGUUAAACCCGCACGCGUAAUGAAAGUGAACGUAGGUGAGAGCUUCGGCGCAUCAUCGACCGAUCCUGAUGUAUUCGGAUGGAUUUGAGUAGGAGCGUUAAGCCUUGGACCCGAAAGAUGGUGAACUAUGCUUGGAUAGGGUGAAGCCAGAGGAAACUCUGGUGGAGGCUCGCAGCGGUUCUGACGUGCAAAUCGAUCGUCAAAUCUGAGCAUGGGGGCGAAAGACUAAUCGAACCAUCUAGUAGCUGGUUACCGCCGAAGUUUCCCUCAGGAUAGCAGUGUUGUUCUUCAGUUUUAUGAGGUAAAGCGAAUGAUUAGGGACUCGGGGGCGCUAUAUUGCCUUCCUCCAUUCUCAAACUUUAAAUAUGUANGAAGCCCUUGUUACUUAAUU
rnacentral:rRNA from 1 species